GGAUUAGAUACCCUGGUAGUCCACGCCGUAAACUAUGAUUACUCGAUAUUGGCGAUACACAGUCAGUGUCUAAGCGAAAGUGAUAAGUAAUCCACCUAGGGAGUACGUUCGCAAGAAUGAAACUCAAGGAAUUGACGGGGGCCCGCACAAGCGGUGGAGCAUGUGGUUUAAUUCGAUGAUACGCGAGGAACCUUACCAGGGCUUAAAUGCAAACUGACAGAUCUGGAAACAGAUUUUUCUUCGGACAGAUUGCAAGGUGCUGCAUGGCCGUCGUCAGCUCGUACUG
rnacentral:rRNA from 1 species